GCUAGAGUCUCCUGCCUGGACUUCUCCUGAGCCUGCUCCUCUUCCAUCUCCUGUGGCCUGCCUUCCUGGAGAGGGCUCUGCAUUGCAGAGUCCAGUUCUGGCAGGGGAGGAUGCUGAGCCCUGACUCAUGGUUAGCAAGAAGUGCUGGAUGAGAUGAUGGAAAGAAUCCGCUCAGUCUCCAUGAAGAGAAGUGGAAUCCCCAAGAGCCUGUCAGAAAUGCUUCCAUACUCCAGGACCAAUAUGAGUGUUAUUCCCAGCAUUGUCAAAGUCAUUGUCCCUCCUCCUGUCACCCCAAGCUCUUGUUGAAAGUCCCUCCUCUGCUGUCUGCCAUGUCAGCUGUGAACACAUGACAGUCUCAAGGCCAGCAGGUUGAGAGGUGAUUCAGCCCCUCCACUCUGCUGUGGUGAGACGUCACCUGCAGUGCUCUGUCCAGUUCUGGAGUGCCCAACACAGGAGAACUCUCCUGAUCAAAUGGAUCCAUAGGAGAGCUACCAAGAUGAUCAGAGGGCUGAAGCACCUCUGCUACGGGGACAGGCUGAGACAGGAACUGUUUAGAAGGGCCUGUGGUGAUAGAACAAGGGACAAUGGUUUGAAAGUGGAGCAGAGGAGAUUUAAGUUGGAUAUCAGGAAGAAGUUGUGCAUAAUGAGAGUGGUGAAAUACUGAAACAGGCUGCCCAGGGAUGUGGUUGAGGGCCCAUCCCUACAGACAAUCAAGGUCAGACUUGCUGUGUCCCUAUGCAGCCUGCUCUAGUUGGAGAUGUCCCUGCUGCCCACAGAGGGGUUGGACAAGAUGGCCUUUGAGGGUCCCUUCCAGCUCAGUGCACUCUGUGAAAUUUCCUUCAGUAAAUUCUGCCUUUACUUGCAUUUUGGCUGAGUUCUGACUUUGACCUUCAGCUGCAUGCAGAGAGGAAGCUCCCAGUGAAGUGCUGGAGCCUGGUGAGCUCUGGAGCUUCACUCUAGGCAGGACUGAAGAGCCACAGGAAGAGACAAUGGCCUUGUAGAUUCCAAAACAUUCCUCUGGUCUCUGUGUUUGUGUGCCAUGUUUCUGGCUACCUGUAUCCAUCAUCUGGAAUGCGAGGAGCAGGCUCCUGGCUGCACGCUAAUGACCCCUGCUCUUUAAUGUUCUCUCUCUAGUUAAUUAAUCUAUUUCUGGUAAUGCUGUGUCUCAUUUUGUGCUCUCGCUCCAGAGGCUGUGUUUGUAUUAUCCUGCUGCAGAGCAUUGACUGCUCCUAUUAUCAUUUAUCAUUAAAGGCAGCAGCACUGCUCUGGCC